GGAGAGAGGUUGGGAUUGGGAGAAGGAGGGAGUCUAGAGUUAGGCGGCGGCGGGGAUAGGGAUGGGGGUGCAUCGGGUUAGGUUAGGCGGCGGCAGGAGAUGGGUAUAGCGAGGGACGAGGCCGCUCGGGCGGUACUUGGCAGACGCCCGCCCCUCGGGUCAGAUGCCCGCCGUCGCGUCGCCCUCGUCGUGCCAGAAGUGGAGGGGCCCGCCACAGAGGGGGAAGGUGGUGGCGAGGAGGAGGUGGAGGAAACGACGGAGGGAGGUUGCGGGUGUGUCGAGCGCUUUUUGUAUCUGCGACAGCGGCGGCGGGGAGCGUGGUACCGGCGGGGGGACGUAGCUGAGGGGUGUGGAGGGGCGGGAGUUCACCGAGGACGGGAGGUGAUGGAUCUAGGCGCAGGCGUAGGGGUGGGUGGACGACGGCGGUAGGUGAGAGCGGCGGGGGCAGGUGGUGGAGCAUGGUGCGGCGGCUGGUGGUAGGUGAGAGCGCACGUGUGCUGGAGGAGCAAGAAGCGCUGACGAGGUACAUACGGCGGACUAAGACAGCUCGGGGCCGCAGAGGGCGGUGGCGCGUCGUGGCUCGGCUCGAACGGAGCAAGGCGACGCAGGAGAUGAGCCGACCUAGGCGGUACAAGCAUCUCCUCGCCCACCCCUUCGUGGUUGGUUCCGGUACAGUACCUCCAAGACGAGUCCGUUGGGACGUGACGAACGUCGGCUGCGGCACCUCCAUAGGUUUGGAGUCUCCUGAUGUCCAAGAUACGGUAGAGCCGCCUCAUGGGACUCAAGUCGUUGUUCCUCUUCUGUGAGCACGACGUCAAGUGCCACUUCGUACUCGUUUUCGAACAGACGCCACCACCAAUGUAGUUCAACGAGCCUCCACUACAACUGGUCUUCUUUAAGCCAGUACAAUAUAAAUAAUCUUAUAUGACUCAUGUAAGACUUGGGGGAUUACACUGUGUUCAAUAUAUACGUGUACGAUAACAAAUUCACAACGAACACAUACCAUUUACCCAACUCGUGGGUGGCGACAAACUACGAUAACACAAAUCCUAAGAUAAGGAGAUACGCACAUUAGAGGUCUGGUACUAGUUCGUGUGCGUGUGCCAACUAUUCGUACCUUACUAAUGAUGAUUAAUUACUUCACUCGUCUGAAGAAGUGUAUUUCCUUCUGCAGACAAAAUUAUUAUCACAAGAACUAGACUGGAGUAUGUGGAAACAAAAUCAUUAUAUUUGUUUAUUUUAUUCUAACAAACGUAUAUUAUUCUAACCACUACGACCUACAUCACUGACACUAGAUGACGAUGUGCACGAUGACGAUCAUCACGAACACUAAAACAAAACGAGAUGGUUGACACCUAAUUAAGGAACCAGUGAUUAUUCAUCCACUACGAUCACAAAUUCAAAGAUAUGAUGACAAAUAUGACGACAAUAAGGCAGCCACAAUACGUAUAUCCAUACCCUAUUUCAUGAAAUAAACAUACCAAUAUCACGAACAGUGAGGUAUCCAAUAUGACUAAGAUCGUGACACAUGAUCAUCUUUAAGUUAGAUUACUGCUGCCCUGUACGAGAGAAAAGAAAUACGACACAAUUAUCCUAUGGCAUUUGCAUCCGGCGACUGUUAGUAUAGUAUCAGAGUCAGUCAAGUAAAAGAGAUACCCCUUACUUAAGAAUCGACGACGUUCAAACCGUUUAUCUGUGGUAUGAGCAAAAAGACACAUUUGUAUCAAUCGUGGAGACAAAAACUCAUCAAGGAAUGAAUGGAGACACAUUUGACUUAAACCAAGUCAAUUUUUUGACGUGAUGGACUGUCAAAACCCGUCGCUCGAAGAUUGACUUUUUGCUCAAGCAAUACGAGUAUUAAAGUUCAACCGGAGAUGUAUACUCAACAUUUCGUACAAGAUUCCAAAGGCAUCUCAUGAAUAAACGAAACAAACCUACAUGCCAAACUCUCGUCGGCAGAUAAAUCAAACGACAGGUCUUUAUAUCAUAUCAAAAAUUUUCGUUGGUUAAGUACUAUUCUGAACCACUCCGACUACGUGUAUCGAUGAAAUUUUCAUGGAACAAUUGUCACAACUCCUGUUCGAUUUAGGACAUAGUCCCAGGACAAGAACAUUUGUAAUACAUUUCGAUUUUAAGAAGGCACAGAACGAGAAAACGACCACGGUGAUAUGUACAAUCUAACGAUCUACAUGAACAAAGGUAGAGUUUAAUGAACCCACAGUAAGUAUACAUGUAUUCUAUUAACAUGACGUUUUUCUAGAAAAUAUAUUUAGGACAACCGAUUGAAAGGUAGAGUUUAAUGAACAAAGGUAGAGUACACGGAAAUCAAAAAUAAAAUUUUCAUGAGCACAUUAUAAAGAAUAUAGUCACUGUAUGAAAAACAAGAGAAAACUUACGGGUCUACAAAACGUAGUCGGACAGUAACGAUUCCUUCUUCGUCAUGAACUUCUUCGUCUGAUGUACAAAAGAACAACACUUCGUGAUCUAUCAAGAUAAAUAAGUAAGGACAAUAUCUCAUAAGGUCGUUGACUUACGAACUUAUGCAUUACAACAUCCAACGAACCUAGACAUAUUUUAUGCCUACACUACCUUUAAACAUCUUACACUCAAAACUCUAUAAAGACAUUAUAAAUCGAUUAACCACCACUAAGUAUAACAAUAAGUUUGACCAAACUUUUACAAGCAAUUUACCCGACCUCAACCUG
rnacentral:rRNA from 1 species